CCUACGGGUGGGCAGCAGUGAGGAAUAUUGGUCAAUGGACGCAAGUCUGAACCACCCAUGCCGCGUGCAGGAAGACGGCUCUAUGAGUUGUAAACUGCUUUUGUACGAGGGUAAAUCCCGAUACGUGUAUCGGGUUGAAAGUAUCGUACGAAUAAGGAUCGGCUAACUCCGUGCCAGCAGCCGCGGUAUUACGGAGGAUUCAAGCGUUAUCCGGAUUUAUUGGGUUAAAAGGGUGCGUAGGCGGUUCGAUAAGUCAGCGGGAAAAUUGCGGGGCUCAACCCCGUAGAGCCGUUGAAACUGGCAGACUUGAGUUGGCGAGAAGUACGCGGAAUGCGCGGUGUAGCGGUGAAAUGCAUAGAUAUCGCGAAGAACUCCGAUUGCGAAGGCAGCGUACCGGCGCCAGACUGACGCUGAGGCACGAAAGCGUGGGGAUCGAACAGGAUUAGAUACCCCUGUAGUC
rnacentral:rRNA from 1 species